rnacentral:rRNA from 1 species
GACGAACGCUGGCGGCGUGCCUAAUACAUGCAAGUAGAACGCAGUUGCGAACGGGUGAGUAACGCGUAGCUAACUGCCUCAUCGCGGGGGAUAACUUUUGGAAACGAUAGCUAAUCCAGUAUCCUGGGAGAUGGACCCGCGUGGUAUGAGCUUGUUGGUGAGGUAAAGGCUCACCAAGGCGACGAUACAUAGCCGGCCUGAGAGGGUGAUGAGCCACACUGGGACUGGGACAAGGGCCAUACGGCGCCGGGAGGUAGCAGUAGGGAAACUUCGGGAAAGGACGGAAUGGGGACAGGGCAACGCCGGGUGAGGGAAGAAGGGGAUCGGAUCGUAAAGGUUUGUUGUUAGGGAAGCGGUAACUAACCAGAAAGGGACGGCUAACUACGUGCCAGCAGCCGCGGUAAUAC